rnacentral:rRNA from 1 species
GAUCCUGGCUCAGGGUGAACGCUAGCUACAGGCUUAACACAUGCAAGUCGAGGGGGCAGCAUGGUCUUAGCUUGCUAAGGCCGAUGGCGACCGGCGCACGGGUGAGUAACACGUAUCCAACCUGCCGUCUACUCUUGGACAGCCUUCUGAAGGGAAGAUUAAUACAAGAUGGCAUCAUGAGUCCGCAUGUUCACAUGAUUAAAGGUAUUCCGGUAGACGAUGGGGAUGCG